CUUAGGCAGAUGGUAAGGCUAUGGAAGUCCUUAGUAAGGCUUUUCUCUUUAAUGAAAACCAGCCCCAAAUCAUUUUCUAACAAAGAGCAGUCUGUAAAAUUGAGCUGCAUCGAGCUGCAGACAUAGACAAGCCAGCUGGGAGCUUGCACGGGUGAAUGCCGGCAAAACGUAGGGACUAGACACGUUCAAGAUGGCGGCUCCAUCUUCCCGGCAGGAACUACGGACUAGACACCUUCAAGAUGGCGUCUUCAUCUUCCCGGCAGGAACUAGGGACUAGACACGUUCAAGAUGGCGGCUCCAUCUUCCCGGCAGGAACUACGGACUAGACACCUUCAAGAUGGCGGCUCCAUCUUCCCGGCAGGAACUAGAGACUAGACACGUUCAAGAUGGCGGCUCCAUCUUCCCUCCUCUUUGUCAACCGCAUGUACAGUAAGAAAAGCAGACAAGAUGGCGCCGAUCAACUGGAAAUCCCAUUUGCUUAAGAUUAGGGUGGGGCGACCAGCCUUCCCCACGCACUCUAUGGAUGUCAUGCCGGAUGGAACCAAUCUUUGAGCCCUACGUAAAUGAAACACCGCCUUCACCAGCCUGCCUAUAAAGUCUGCAGAGGUCAGUCCUUGUCCACACAUCUCAUCACACACGUGCGCAGCAAACAGGCACACCCAGUGUGAACCCAGGCACAGCUCUCCGAGAGAACUCUAGUCAACACGUCGUCCGUGGGACAUCGGCUGUAUUUCUGUUCCUUUCCUUCUUUUCUGUCUCUUUCUCUUAUUUCCCAAAACUCCGUUGUGUUUCUGAUUUGUUCACAUCGCUUUCGGCAAAAGGAAAACACAAUGGUAAGUGGGGUUUAUAAAUCUAUCUUCGUUAUCAAGGGAAGAUUGAAACGGCAUGGAGACAAAUGAAAUUAACUGUGCACGGGACACACCGUCAACAAAACGCUAAUAAGUGCAGAAAGACUGUUUAGCAGGAAACAUGUCCAAAAAAAAAAAAGAAAAGAAAGGAUCUUAAUCAUGGUUUAAGCUUAUCUGAUGGAUUUCAACAGAGACACAUCAAGUCUAAUUGAAUGUUUACGUGCACUUUUUAUGGUUUCUGUAUUCUGUGUAAUGAAAUAACAUUACAAAAAAGCGUUGAGACGCAAGAAACUCUGGGAUUCUUCUAAAGGGAGAGUUGGAGUUACUACAUUCAACAUGGACGGCUUCUCUUCUGUAUUUCAACAGCGUUAUCGUCUGCAAAUUUGGAGAUUCUCUGAAAGCUUCACGGCCAUCCUGGGUCUCAAACUCUUUGAAUAUUCAUACUGUAAACUAUCUGACAACAUGGGAUUGGGUUUUGGCAUUCUCUAGGUCUACUGAGAGAGGUUCUGGAAUGCAAUUUAACUUUAAAUGCCUACCUACCUACCUGCCUAUCAUCUAUCUAUCUGUCUAACAUCUAUCUGUCUUUCAAUCAUCUAUCCAUUCGUCUCAUCUAUCUACCUACCUAUCUAUUCAUCCAUCUCAUCUAUCCAUCCAUCCAUCCAUUCAUCCUGCCAUCUAUCCAUCUAUGUAUCUAUCUAUCUAGUCAUCCAUCUCAUCUGUCUUCCUAUCCAUGUAUCAUCUAUCUACUUACCUAUUAACUAUCAUCUAUCAAUCAAGCUAUCUAUAUAUCCAUCAUCUAUCUACCUUAUCUAUUAUCAAUCUAUCGUGUGUCCAUCUAUGUACUAUCACCUGUCAAUCUGUCAUCUACCAUCUGUUUAUCUACCCAUCUCAUCAUCUAUCAACUACCCAUCCAUCUUUAUCUAUCUAUCUAUGUAUCUAUCUAUCUAUCUUUUUUUUUUUUUUUUUGAGACAGAGUGUCACUCUGUCGCCCAGGCUGGAGUGCAAUGGCGCAAUCUCGGCUCACUGCAAGCUCCGCCUCCCAGGUUCACGCCA
rnacentral:lncRNA from 10 species